GACGAACGCUGGCGGCGUGCUUAACACAUGCAAGUCGAACGGAAAGGCCCUGCUUUUGUGGGGUGCUCGAGUGGCGAACGGGUGAGUAACACGUGAGUAACCUGCCCUUGACUUUGGGAUAACUUCAGGAAACUGGGGCUAAUACCGGAUAGGAGCUCCUGCUGCAUGGUGGGGGUUGGAAAGUUUCGGCGGUUGGGGAUGGACUCGCGGCUUAUCAGCUUGUUGGUGGGGUAGUGGCUUACCAAGGCUUUGACGGGUAGCCGGCCUGAGAGGGUGACCGGCCACAUUGGGACUGAGAUACGGCCCAGACUCCUACGGGAGGCAGCAGUGGGGAAUAUUGCACAAUGGGCGGAAGCCUGAUGCAGCAACGCCGCGUGCGGGAUGACGGCCUUCGGGUUGUAAACCGCUUUCGCCUGUGACGAAGCGUGAGUGACGGUAAUGGGUAAAGAAGCACCGGCUAACUACGUGCCAGCAGCCGGGGUGAUACGUAGGGUGCGAGCGUUGUCCGGAUUUAUUGGGCGUAAAGGGCUCGUAGGUGGUUGAUCGCGUCGGAAGUGUAAUCUUGGGGCUUAACCCUGAGCGUGCUUUCGAUACGGGUUGACUUGAGGAAGGUAGGGGAGAAUGGAAUUCCUGGUGGAGCGGUGGAAUGCGCAGAUAUCAGGAGGAACACCAGUGGCGAAGGCGGUUCUCUGGGCCUUUCCUGACGCUGAGGAGCGAAAGCGUGGGGAGCGAACAGGCUUAGAUACCCUGGUAGUCCACGCUGUAAACGGUGGGUACUAGGUGUGGGGUCCAUUCCACGGGUUCCGUGCCGUAGCUAACGCUUUAAGUACCCCGCCUGGGGAGUACGGCCGCAAGGCUAAAACUCAAAGGAAUUGACGGGGCCCCGCACAAGCGGCGGAGCAUGCGGAUUAAUUCGAUGCAACGCGUAGAACCUUACCUGGGUUUGACAUGGAUCGGGAGUGCUCAGAGAUGGGUGUGCCUCUUUUGGGGUCGGUUCACAGGUGGUGCAUGGCUGUCGUCAGCUCGUGUCGUGAGAUGUUGGGUUAAGUCCCGCAACGAGCGCAACCCUUGUUCACUGUUGCCAGCACGUUAUGGUGGGGACUCAGUGGAGACCGCCGGGGUCAACUCGGAGGAAGGUGGGGAUGACGUCAAGUCAUCAUGCCCCUUAUGUCCAGGGCUUCACGCAUGCUACAAUGGCUGGUACAGAGAGUGGCGAGCCUGUGAGGGUGAGCGAAUCUCGGAAAGCCGGUCUCAGUUCGGAUUGGGGUCUGCAACUCGACCUCAUGAAGUCGGAGUCGCUAGUGAUCGCAGAUCAGCAACGCUGCGGUGAAUACGUUCCCGGG
rnacentral:rRNA from 1 species